rnacentral:rRNA from 1 species
UACAGAGGGUGCAAGCGUUGUUCGGAAUUAUUGGGCGUAAAGCGCGUGUAGGCUGCUUGGAAAGUCGGAUGUGAAAGCCCUGGGCUCAACCCAGGAAGUGCAUUCGAAACUUCCGAGCUCGAGUUCUGGAGAGGAUAGCGGAAUUCUCGGUGUAGAGGUGAAAUUCGUAGAUAUCGAGAGGAACACCGGUGGCGAAGGCGGCUAUCUGGACAGAAACUGACGCUGAGACGCGAAAGCGUGGGGAGCAAACAGG